AGUCCAUUGUGAGAUGUAGGAAAACCAGG
rnacentral:piRNA from 1 species